rnacentral:lncRNA from 10 species
UGAUUAUGUGUAAUUGAAUGCAAGAACUUAUACAGAGGUACAUUAAGAUGAAGAAACAUGUUUAUCUUGUUCUCUCUUCUCUGUAGCAUUGAAAUUUCAGCUGCAAAGAAAAGGGUAGGCAAGUCAGGGCAAUGUCAGUUUUUCUCAAUUAAAACAAUUUUAAAAUCCAAAUGAAUACUAAGGGGAGAAAGAGAGCCAACUACCCAUAAGUAUUUAUAAUUUGAUUAAAAUUCUGUUUUGUUGAACUCUCCACAUUAUUUAAUAAGAGGUAGUGAGCUUAGAAUAGCUUACCCUGCUCAGAUAAACCAUUACAAGCUUUGCAAUUUACUAAUCAUCAGUCUGAAGCAAUUUUCUGUAAUAUUUUAGCCCCUCUUCACUGAUACAUAAAGAGAACUUGCAUAUAAAAACAAUAAAGGAAUUCAAGAUGCUCUACAUUUAAAAUCUCAACUGUAGAAAUGAUUUUCUGCCAUAUCUAGUAAUUCAGAGCUAGACAAAACCAUUAAUUUAAUUAUAUACCUGCUAUGGUUUGAAUGUGUCCCCCAAAGUUUAUGUGUUGGAAACCUAAUUCUCAAUGUAAUGGUGUUGGGAGUUAGGGCCUAAUAAGAGGUGAUUAAAUUAUGAGAGUUCUGCCCUCAUGAAUGGACUAAUAUCAUUUUCCUUGGAGUGGGUUAGUUAAUUAUGAGAAUGGGUUUGUUAUAAAGACAAGUUUGGCCCAUUCUUGCUCGCUUGCUUUUGCCUACUCUUGACCUUCUGCUUUCUGCCAUGGGAUGACAGAGAAUGUAGGCACUCACCAGAUGCCGUUGCUAUGCAUUUGAAUUUCCAGUCUCCAGAACCACGAACCAUGGUUCAUUAUAAAUUAACAAGUCUGUGAGAGUCUGUUAUGAGUAUAAAAUGAACUAAGUCCCUAAUGUGCAAUAUGAAAAAAUGAAUACAAGAUUAAUCUCUCAGACUACCUUUCACUAUCCAGUGUAGAGAGAAUCAGUCCAGGGUAAAACUAACUUUAUGUAAUGAAGGAUAAAAGGAAGAAAUCAAAUUAACGAAAAUGGAUGCAUGGAUUAGAAAAAAAAUCGUUUAAAAAAUCAAAUGGUUGUACCCAAAGGAGACACAAUGCAUGGUUUAAGUGGGAAACCUCACUGACCAUGACAUUUAUUUUUAAUUAGCAAUUCAACUAAUGUAUAGCAUCAGUAACAUUGUCAAUAAUUAUCUCCCAAGCUUUGUCAUUAUAUA